rnacentral:piRNA from 1 species
UAGGACUGAGUCAAAUGUUAGUCUGGUC